rnacentral:rRNA from 1 species
GACGAACGCGGCGGCGUGCCUAAUACAUGCAAGUCGAGCGAAGUUUUUCUGGUGCUUGCACCGGAAAAACUUAGCGGCGAACGGGUGAGUAACACGUAAAGAACCUGCCUCAUAGACUGGGACAACUAUUGGAAACGAUAGCUAAUACCGGAUAACAGCAUUAACUGCAUGGUUGAUGUUUAAAAGUUGGUUUUGCUAACACUAUGAGAUGGCUUUGCGGUGCAUUAGCUAGUUGGUGGGGUAAAGGCCUACCAAGGCGACGAUGCAUAGCCGACCUGAGAGGGUGAUCGGCCACACUGGGACUGAGACACGGCCCAGACUCCUACGGGAGGCAGCAGUAGGGAAUCUUCCGCAAUGGGCGAAAGCCUGACGGAGCAACGCCGCGUGAGUGAAGAAGGAUUUCGGUUCGUAAGGCUCUGUUGUUAGGGAAGAAUGAUUGUGUAGUAACUAUACACAGAGAGACGGACCUACCA